rnacentral:rRNA from 1 species
AUGAAAAAAACCUGAAACUUAAUGCUAACAAUCUGUUGAAGCUUUAAAAAGUUACAGCGUACCUUUUGCAUAAUGGAUCAAUGAGUUUAUUUUAAUGGCAAGCUUAAGUUAAUAAAUGUAGGCGUAAAGAAAUUAAAUUUAAAAAUGUUAAUUGAAGUCUUUAAAAUAAAACCCGAAACUAAGUGAUCUA